rnacentral:misc_RNA from 1 species
GGUUGGAUCAUUAAUGGAUACCUUAAUAGACCAGCAAGCAAAUGUUGUUUAUAGACUGGAUGUAUAAUUAGUGUAACAUGAGAAACGACAACUUUUGACAAUGGAUCUCUUGGUUCUCGCAACGAUGAAGAACGCAGCGAAAAGCGAAAAGUAAUGUGAAAUGCAGAAUACGGGAAUCAUUGAAUGUUUGAACGCAACUUGCACUUUGUUUCGACAGAGUAUGUCUGUUUGAGAAGUAGGACGAUUUGAACAAAGACAAUGGACUUGUUUUAAAGGGAUGGAGAAGAUUAAGCAAAUGAUUGCAACUUGGCAACAACAACAACACAUACUCUCAAAUCAGACAAGAGGACCCGCUGAACUUAAGCAUAUCAAUAAGCGGAGGAAAAGAAACUAACGAGGAUUCCCCUAGUAACGGCGAGUGAAGUGGGAAGAGCCCGAAUUUGAAAUCUCUCUUUGGAGCGAAUUGUAGUUUGUGUUUUCUUUGGGUUUACUUACCACAAGUUCUUUGGAACGAGACAUUGUAGAGGGUGAGAAUCCCGUGGUGGUGGGUAAAGCCAGUUGAGAGACACGGGGAUGAGUCGGUUUGUUUGGGAAUGCAGACCAAAAUGGGUGGUAAAUAGCAUCCAAGGCUAAAUAUUGGCGAGAGACCGAUAGCGGACAAGUACCGUGAGGGAAAGAUGAAAAGAACUUUGAAAAGAGAGUUAAACAGUACGUGAAAUUGUCAAAAGGGAAACGCUUGAAUGGUUCAAGGGGAGCGGAUAAUUUGGAUGUCGAUCCAUUGUAGUUUGUUCUCCUGGUCAACAUCAGUUUAUUGUUUAUUAGAAAGACCCAAGGUGACGCAAGUUAGAUUGGGUUCAUGAUAAAGAGUAGACUGAGGAAGGUAGGAUUUAGGGAAACUUGGCGAUUUAAGCAAAUUGGCAAGGUUACUACUUGCACUAUGGAUGUUGAUGUAAUGGGUUCAAGCGACCCGUCUUGAAACACGGACCAAGGAGUCUAGCAUGUGUGCGAGUAUUAGAGUGGGAAACUCGAAUGCGCAAUGAGAGUGAGGGGGUGGGAGAGUGGUUCGGCCACUUGCACCAUCGGCGGUUGGAAGAUUCAUCAGACCAAUCAGCAAGAGCAUGCAUGGUGGGACCCGAAAGAUGGUGAACUAUGCCUGAAUAGGGUAAAGCCAGAGGAAACUCUGGUGGAGGCUCGUAGCGGUUCUGACGUGCAAAUCGAUCGUCGAAUUUGGGUAUAGGGGCGAAAGACUAAUCGAACCAUCUAGUAGCUGGUUCCCUC